GAGUUUGAGGUGAAGAAAGAGAGGCGGAAAUGGUUGUCUGAAACCAUUCUCAUCUGUAUCGAGUGAUGACAGAUUGAGAUGGAAUCGAGAGACAGAGAAGAUCUGAGGUGGAUCGAGUUGGUUGCUGCUGUCGGUUCAUGGCCGGAAUUAAGGGUUUUGAUGGUUGAAUCUGGUGGUCUGAACAAGAAAGGAGGAAUUGAUGAUUAAAUUAGCUAGGGUUUCUGUGAGCUAAUGGGUCUGUGAUUAAACAGGGAAGAUUAGGAGUUAUUGAUGCUAUUUCAGUCGAUCGAGAAAGGAAUUAGGCCAUGGAAGGUUAGGGUUUACUGAAGGUGGAGGAAUUCAUGACUGUUGAUGAAGGUUAACGAAGAAGUCAGAGAUUCGAGAUGGGGUUUUGAGUUAAUUCGAGUUUUGAGUUGUUGAUAAAGAAGAAUCAGAAGCAUCUGGGAGUUCAGAGAGAAACUAGGAUUGCAGUUUGGGGGCUGGUUGAUGAUUGAAAGAGAGUUACACAUAAGACUUGAGAGAUGUACUGAUGGCAGUGAAGAAGAUUUGGCUGAAGAAUGCAUGAGUUACAAAUCUGUGGAGAUUCUAUGGAUGAAUUUGUUGUUGAGAUUGAAGGACUGAAUUGUGAAUGUAGAUAAAUGUCAGGACAGGUACAAGUUACAGAGUAGAGGAUUUGCAGUGACUGAGCAUGGUCCGUGCUAUUGCAGAAAUGGAUUAUGAAGUUGCAACUGAGCUGUAGGUUUGAUGGUUGAGCAAUGAAGUGAGCUGAAUUGCAGGUAUAUGCAUUGGUGAUUGAGUUGGGUGUAUAUGAUGCUGCGAUCGCAGGUGCAGCUGAAAUGGCAUGAGCUUGUAAUGAAGCUACGGAUGCUGAGAGAAUGGAACUGAUGGUGUUACGGAAUUGCGGGUGCAUCUCAAGGAGGAUUUGUGGUGGUACGUCAAUAAAGGUGGAGUUGAAGCAUAGGUGGAGAUGUAUGGAUUACAAGAGGAAUGGAAUUGAAAUAGGUGUUGAUGCUAGUUCAGAAGUGGAUGUAGAUGUUAUUGGUAAAAUGGUAGAGCUGCAGUUACAGGUGGAAGUGUUGGUGGUUAUAACUUAUGGUGAUGCAGUGAGCUGAGUUGCAGGUGGAGGUUAUGAUUACAGGCUUGUGAAGUUAUGUUGUGAAGCUGGUGGUCAUGUGUGUAAAUGGAAUAGCAGGUGCUGGUGGAUUGCAGGAGCCAAGGAAGGAGAUUUGAGGUUGCAGUUGUCACUGCAAUUGAUGAAACUGCAGGCUAAGCUGUAGAUGUGCUAUUGUUGAUACAAGGAAUCACAGGGAUUGGUGGAAGCUGGCGUUCAAGUGGAGUUAUGGAAUGAAUAAGUUGCAGAAGGAAGCCAGAGAAGGUUCAGAUUGAAAUGCUGCUUGUGGAACUGAUUCAUUUGGGUGCAGUUUAGUUGCAACAGAGGACAAAGAAGAUAAUUAAGAUGUCAUGGAGGAUAUGAAAUGUAACUGCAUUGAGGGGGACUGAGAUGAAGCUACAAGAUGGUAGUGGUGGCUGUCUGGAUUAUCUGAUGUUGCAUAUGUGUAAGGUAGGUCUAGCCAUUAUGGAUGGAAGUGCACUGGUGAUGCACAAUGAUUGUGCAGCACAGUUCAAGCCUAUGCAAUGGUCUUGGCCAACACUAACUCAGACAAGUCAUCCCAGUUAGCUUACUUGACUAGCUAUCUCGGUUCUGACUCAUGGGAUCAGCUUAUUUGAAUCAGUUUUUUCUGAGUGUAACUCACUGAGCUUGACCGGGUUGUCUGACUCGUUUGACCGGUGACCGGGUGGACUUUUCCGGUUACAUGGGCACUUCUCCGGCGACUUCCCGGACCAAUUUCCGGUCACUUUACCAGUUUUCUGGCAACCUCUUUUGGGACAUAUUUUCUACAUGGGUGUUUUCACAUAUGGGCUUGGUGGACAUCUUUGUAUUGGGCUGUGGGCGACCUAGUUUUGAAAAGAGAAAAAGCUACAAAAGAAAAAGUCUUCUACAACUUGGAGGAGCACGUAUUUUCUACUUGGAGUUUUGGAGAGCGGCGACUAGGGUUUGCUUUCGUUUAUUUUUUGCCUUCUUCAUUUCAUUUUUGAUUAUGAUUAUGAUGAACUCAAAAGCUAUGAGUAUCUAAAUACUAUUAUUGGUUAUGGGAUAAAGUUGAUUUCACAACAUGAUAUUGUUUCAAUGAAUUAGUUUUGUCU